UUGUGGAAGCUCAACCACCAGAGAAGUUCGAAAAUAUGUCGCUCAAGGUCAGAUGCCGGCAAAGUCCUAGGAGGGUCACUCUCGACCCAAACUUCGGUUGGGGGGGUAUUUUAUACCCAACACCAGUCCUCCCACUUUCGAGUUCGAGCUUCGAAUGAAGAAAGUAUAGAGAAGUUUUUACAGCCGAAGUUGCCCCCUUG
rnacentral:lncRNA from 1 species